GACGAACGCUGGCGGCGUGCUUAACACAUGCAAGUCGAGCGGUAAGGCCCUUUCGGGGGUACGACGAGCGGCGAACGGGUGAGUAACACGUGGGUGACCUGCCCUCAGCUCUGGGAUAAGCCUGGGAAACCGGGUCUAAUACCGGAUAUGACUCCAUGACGCAUGUUGUGGGGUGGAAAGCCUUGUGCGGCUGAGGAUGGGCCCGCGGCCUAUCAGCUUGUUGGUGGGGUGAUGGCCUACCAAGGCGACGACGGGUAGCCGGCCUGAGAGGGCGACCGGCCACACUGGGACUGAGACACGGCCCAGACUCCUACGGGAGGCAGCAGUGGGGAAUCUUGCGCAAUGGGCGAAAGCCUGACGCAGCGACGCCGCGUGAGGGAUGACGGCCUGGUGU
rnacentral:rRNA from 1 species